rnacentral:lncRNA from 1 species
AAGAAAUCAGGGCUGAUGGCUAAAAGAGGAGCCUGGCUUUUCACUCCUCUCUGGAUGUUGGCUGAGUCAUUCCCAGGCCCAUGGGGUGCUGCCGCCCAAGCAGCAUAGUUGAGAAAGUUCUCGAAAGGUUGACACAUGAUUCUUUCCCUGGAGGUAGGGGGCAACUGUGAACCCAGUGAGCCCUGGCUGAGCUCCCUGAACGUGGGAGCAGAGAAGAAGUUGGCAGCAGCAGGGCGAGGAGACAAAGGAGCAGAGGCGCCAUUCUUCAGCAUAGGAGGGACGCCUGAGUUCCCCGUGGAGCCACGAGGGUGCCUUGAAGGCAAAUGUCAUGGAGAGUCACUGAGGUUGCUUUCAACCAGGAGACCUGGAGCUUCGGCUACCUGGACCGACUCCUCUGGCAGCGCCCUUAGAAAAACAAUGAAUCUUCCCAUGUAAUUCACGGUUGGCUUUUUGAGUUUGCUUGUUUGUUACUCAAAACUUCAGAGUUCAGCCAGGAUGUUGCCUGGGUUCUUGUUGACUCCGCUUGGAUGUGCUCAACUUUAUUCAUGGUUGCAGAUCAAGUUCAAGAGGUGUCUAUCUGUGUCGCUCUUGUCCCUGAAGUCAAUUUAUACACAUUUGGUUUUUUGGGUUUUUGUUUUUUGUCAUUAUUGUUCUUUUUUGGCCGCACCUGCAGCAUAUGAAAGUUCCCUGGCUGGGGAUUAAAUCUGAACUGCAUCUGUGACCUAAACCACAGCUUCGGCAAUGCUGGAUCCUUAACCCAUUGUGCCAGGCCAGAGAUUGAACCUGCACCACGCCACCACAGAGACAAUGCUGGAUCCUUAACCCACUGAGGCACAGCGGGAACUCCAAUUUAUACACAUUUUUACGUGUAUGCUCUAGGAAGCCUGUAACUUUUGUCCAAGUCAGUCUCUUGGUAGGGUUUUGCAUGUCUUCAGCAAAACCUUAAGAUCCAUAAGGGUCUCCUCACUUCUUCCAGGUUCCAAAUGUAUAAAUAACAAUGUAACACUUGUUAUUUAUAUAAUGUGCAUUAUGUAUUGGAUAUUGAAAUGAUAACUGAUUGAGUUUCAACUAUCUCUUAUGGCUUCGAUUGUGGUCACAAUACAUGAGGCCAGUCUAUUAGCAAUCUGCACAUUUGGAAUUAUAAUAUCCAUCUUUGCAGGGCUGUUGUAAAUGAGCAUUCAUUCAUAUUAAGCAUCUACCCCAUAUUAAGUGAUGGUACAUUGUAGGCACUCAAUCAGCCGUGGCCACUACUACUGUUUUUACAACUCAUUGAUUCUAAUGCAUUUUCUAAUAACUUACCCGCUUCAUUUCCUCAUUGGCCAGCUUAAAUUCCAGUAUUAAUUAUGAAAUCACUGUACCCUUGCAUAAAUCCUCAGUUGUCUUGACCCUUUCUUUCCUCAUCAGAUUACUAUAGCAAACCACCAACCUGUGUAAACCCGUCGGUUUAUCUACCCACGCAGCUGAAAGUGGCCAGAGAAAACCACACUAACACGCUCAUUGGUCUCACUUGAAUUCUUAUUUACUCAUUUAGGGAUGAGUGGCGGUCAUCAUCUAUUUUCCUAAUCUGUUCACUUUCCCACUCUUCUCAACCACGAUUUUAUAUCUUCUCAUCUACCUUAAAUUGCCACCCUAUAGCAAGCCUAUGAGCUUGCUUCCAAUGUCACUAAGAAAAUACAAGCACUCAAACACUAACUUCCACAUACACCCUUCUCCACAUGCAAUUGCCCCCCUUCAUCUAUGUAUAUUUCACCUGGAAAAACGCCUGGCAAAAGCCAACUCCUCUAUUUUUGCCCUAGAUCUCAUCUCUGGUCUAUGCGAGGACACUGCUCGAGCAAUCAAUCUCCCCUCUCUCAUUAGCAAUCGCUUCUUCUAAUAGAUAUUUUCCAUUUGCCUACACAAUGCUGUUGAUUCUCCCAUCUGUUAUCCAAUCUUCUCUUGACACCAUUUUUUUGGCCAGUAAAACUCCAUUUUUUUUUUUUACUUCCUUUUAUAACAGAACUCCUUGAAUGGGUCAUCUCCAUUUCUUUUCUCCCAUUAUCUCUUGAGCAUAGUCCAAUCAGGUUGUUGGCCCAUCACUCCAGGGAAAACUGCUUUUCUCAAGGUUGCAAAUGACCGUCACUUUCUAAAUCCCAUGCUCAAUUCUCAGACCUCAUCUCAUUGACCUAUCUGCAGAAUUUAACACUCUGAAAGUCUUUCUUCAACACAUUUCUUAUUUUUCUUACUCAUUAGCAGCUCCUUCUGAGCCUACUUUGCUGUUUCUCCUCUUCUCCCCGAUCUCUUAGCAUUUAGUGAAGAAGUUCGAUCUUUAGAUCUCUAUGCCUUUCCCUCCACUCUUUCUCCCCUGGCACUAUCACUGAAUGUCAUGAUUUUAAUACUAUCUAUACACAAAUGGACCCCAAAUUUAAGUUUCCAUCAUGGGUCUUGCAACUCAACAUCUCCACAUCGCAGUCUAAAGAGCAUCCCAAACUUAACAUUGUCCAAAAUUGAGGUCCUGUGUUUUCCCCAACAAAUUUAUCAUAGUCUGUUCCAUUUUAGAAAACAGCAGCUCCAUCCUUCCAUUUACUUAUGGCAAAAAUCUUGGAGUCAUCUUUGACUCCAUUUUUUUUUCUUCCAACCUAUAUCUGGCAUAUCCACUAGCAAAUUGUGUCAGCUUCAUAUGAAAAAUAUGGCUAUAAUCCAACCAUUUUUCAAGCAACUCUCCUCAUUCCCUUAGAUUUAAAGCAAUAGCCUCUUUACUGUGCUCCCUGCUCUGUUUUUCCCCCACCUGUGUUUAUUCCCAACAACCCAGUAGAAUGUUUAAAAAAAUUUUAAGUAAGAUCAUAUUACUCUACUUCCUAUGACUGACAUUUUACUUACACAAAAAGUUAAAGUCCUUACAGUGGUACACAAGACCCUCCAUGAUCUGAAAGUCCAUCACUUCUCGGACUGCAUCUUCUGUUCGGGUUUUACUCAUUUGUUUUACUGUAAAAUGUCAAGCAUCCUCCCACUGUGAGGCCUUUGCACUAUUACUCAUGCUGGGACUGCUCCUCCCUAAAUAUUUGCCUUUCCUACUCCUCAGUUUCCUUUGGGUCUUUAAUCAACUGUCAUUGUAACAGACAGGAUGGGCUAGGUUAUGCUUCAGGGAUAAGCAUCUCCAAACGCAGCAGCUUAAAGCAAGUCAUAAUACAUGUCCAUUUUGGGGUAGCUGGUCUCUACUCCAUGUUAUCAUCAUUCUAGGUCCUGACCUGACAGAACAGUGCAAUUGGACAAUUGCUGUGGCAGAGGGAAAGAAAAAGCAUGAAGAAUCACAUGCUUGAUCUUAAAGCCUCUAUGCCAAAUGUCACACAUCACUUCUACUUACAUUUCAUCAGCCAAAGCAAGCCAGUGGGCAUCUCCAUUUCCAAUGCAUCAAGGAAACACAACCCUAUCACAUGCCAGAAGAACUAGAAAUUCUGAUAAACAAUACUAUAUUAAUGGUUAUUGAUCAUCAUCUAACGGAGACCUUCCCUGGCCACAUAGGAAGUUACAAGUCUUCCCAACCCCUUCCUGAUUUCCCUCUUCCCCUUAACUACUGUAUUUAUCUCUUCAGCAUCUAUCAUUACCUACGCAUACUAUACAAUUACAUAUUUAUCUUGUUUGUUUUAUAUCAUCCUUCAUUAGAAUGUAAACUCCAAUGGAAAGGAGAGUUUUGCUGUUUUAUUCAAUAAAUAUAUUUUGCUGUUGUGUUUGUUCCCACUGCUUAGAGUAGUAACCACUAUACAGAGGCUUUAGAUUUUAAAAAAUUGUGGAAUAAAUCCACAAAUGACAAAAAGUACAAUUAGUGAUCCAUGUAAAAUAUGCUGUGAUUUUCAGUUUCUCAGCCUUGGAUUUGGCUUAAGCCAGGGUUGGCACUGUUCGUUUAGUCAACAAAUUCUUGCAUAUGCUUAACUUACACAAGGCUCUAUUCAUCAAGGAGAAGAUCCUCAUCCUUGUACAUACCAGCUCCCAGGGAAAUUAGCACCUUUCCCACUGCACACUGCUUCUGCCAGGAGGAGGAGGUGGAGCCGCUUGACUUUCCUGGAAACAAAAGUUAUAAGCUUCAUUUUUUCAGCUAAUAUCUGGGCUGAAAUCAGGGCUCUCGUUCAGACACACAAGAAAUUCUCAUAGGUGACAAGCAGACUUCCUAAUUUCUCCUUCCCGGCCCGUUUGCAUUUCAUCACACGUGCAGACCCCCCAGAAAGCUACACUUAUGCCAAUAAUGAAGCUCCCAGCAUCUUAAUUUGAAAAGUGUUCAUCAGGUUGAACAGGUUGGCCUCUUUGCAUCAGGGUCUUCUUUAAUGAAUCAAAUAACGCAUUUCUCAUUGGUAAUUAAAUAAUACCUUAAAAGGCUCUGCCUUCCUCCAAAGACUCAGGAGGAAUUCAUUUCUACAUAGGGAUAAUUAUAGUCAGCAUUGAGGGUAGACCCUGUGGUGAGGGCUAUGGAUAUUCACCAGCUCCUCAAAGGCAAAUCAUAAAAGAACUUAGUAGAGAAGUUAAAAAAAUAAAAAGGCUUCGUGGAAAAUGAAGUUAAGAUGUAAAUAUCGAAUCCAAGGCUAGCUUGCUUCCCCACUUAGAGACAUUAUUGAGUCCAUUAUUUGCACCAAGGAUUUUUUUGUUGUCGAUCUCGUUCUUAUUUUUUUUUUUCAAAGAUGACAUCCACUUGUGUAAAAUAUUUGAGGGAGUAAUGAGUACAUUUGUAUAGGAUGUACAGAGAAUUUGCAUAGGGACAUUGAACCAAGGACACAAUGACCUCUUCAAGAUCCCAGGUUCCUUCCCUCUUUCUCCUCUGCCAAGUCACGCAUGUUACCCGCUCUCAUAGUGAUAGGAUGUUGAGCAUGUUCUAAGCAUCACCUCCUUCUGUCACCCUGCCUAGAAGCACGAAAGAAGUGAGGCUCUGUCUUUUUUGGUGUCCUCAUUUAAGACUCAGGAAACUUCCCAAGAAAUCCC